rnacentral:rRNA from 1 species
AGGAUGAACGCUGGCGGUCUGCUUAACACAUGCAAGUCGAACGGAGUAGCAAUACUUAGUGGCGGACGGGUGAGUAACGCGUGAGAAUCUACCUUCAGGACGGAGACAACAGUUGGAAACGACUGCUAACCCCCGAUGUACUGAAAAGGCAAAUAUUUAUAGCCUGAAGAAGAGCUCGCGUCCGAUUAGCUAGUUGGAGAGGUAAAAGCUCACCAAGGCGACGAUCGGUAGCUGGUCUGAGAGGACGAUCAGCCACACUGGGACUGAGACACGGCCCAGACUCCUACGGGAGGCAGCAGUGGGAAUUUUCCGCAAUGGGCGAAAGCCUGACGGAGCAAGACCGCGUGGGGGAAGAAGGCUCUUGGGUUGUAAACCCCUUUCUCUGGAGAACACAAUGACGGUACCAGAGGAAUCAGCAUCGGCUAACUCCGUGCCAGCAGCCGC